GAUCUUUAUAUAUAAAGUAUUUUAGUAAAAAUUAGUUAAAGAUUAUUUUAAAUUAUUUUUAUAUUAUAUUGGGGUAAUAAUAAAAUUUAUUUAAUUUUUAAUUAUUUUAUACAAUAAUAAUUGAUUUUUUGAUCCGAUAAUUAUCGAUUGUAAAGUUAAGUUACCUUAGGGAUAACAGCGUAAUGAUUUUUGAGAGUUCUUAUCGA
rnacentral:rRNA from 1 species